UACGAAGGGGGCUAGCGUUGCUCGGAAUCACUGGGCGUAAAGGGUGCGUAGGCGGGUUUUUAAGUCAGGGGUGAAAUCCUGGAGCUCAACUCCAGAACUGCCUUUGAUACUGGACGGACUCUGAGUUCGGGAGAGGUGAGUGGAACUGCGAGUGUAGAGGUGAAAUUCGUAGAUAUUCGCAAGAACACCAGUGGCGAAGGCGGCUCACUGGCCCGGUACCGACGCUGAGGUGCGAAAGCGUGGGGAGCAAACAGG
rnacentral:rRNA from 1 species